AUGUUUAAUGUUAAGAGAGGAAGUAUAAUAUGCAUGUUAUUUCUCUGCCUUAACAAUAUAAAUUUGUUUUGCACAAGGACACAGACAUGUGCUCCAGCUUCACUUUUAUCACUGUUAGUAACAUUUUUAUCGGUCCUAUUUUGUUGUAAUUUGUCUACUAAAUUAACAUGGCAAUAAUGUUUCUCAGACAAAAAACUCCUUUCAUGACUACAUUUAGGCCAAGUCUGAAACACUAAUUCUGAAUACACAGAGGCCGGUUGUCAUUUAUCUCAUUUGCUAAAAUUUGUGUAGGAUCACAAGUAUUCCACUUGGGAAAUAAAAUCCUGAAAUGUUAUUUUCACCACUCAACCCAAUAUGAGAACAACUUAAGUCUACAGUAUUUUAGGAGGGUUUUUGGUUUGUUUUAAGGCUUUGGAGAAUUUUAAGUAUCUUAAACUCCUUAAAAGAUAUUUCAAUCUAAGAUGAACGUAUCAGCAACAACAAACAGCAACAAAAAAAUCACACCAGGGCGACAACUAAAAUGUUCUUCAGAAUCACCUAGGUGGGUGUGCCAAACAGGCCUCAUCACCACUUUCAGUCAUGAUGCCCUGACUCCAAAUAACUAGUCAAGAACCAAAAAGAGCAAGCAAAAGCCCAAGUUACCUGAUGUCCCAGUUGGUUCUCUUUCUAACACACAAUAUAGUAUACACACACAGAAUUUAACUGAGGAAACAAAAAAGUUAAUGAAAAAUAAUCUCAAGUGUAGGAAAAUCUGGGGGGGUCAAUCAAUUCCAGUAGUCUUUAAAAGACAUGAUUACCGAAAGUAAAUUGAAGACAUCUUUUUCUUUCUACAAAAAAGGCAAGACAAACAAGUGUAAAAGCUAGAGAUUUAUUGUUAUUUUGUGAUUAAUAAAUUGUCAAACUGGUUAUGACACUACCCCACACUGUAUACCACCAAUUGCCAGUACAGAAGUUUUAAAACCAUACUGAGGCAUAAGGCAGAGAGAGCAGAGACGCACAAAUAUCAUCCUUAACGAGUUCCUCUUAGUCAUGCCUCCAUCUUCAUUAACCUUUGUACCUGUUUUAUUCCAGGGGUCAGUGUCAAAACAGUGCACGAAAUGGUGGGCAACCUGCCUCUUCACCUUUUUUAAUAGCAAGCAACUUACAGAAGUAAUGGAAUUCAACUUGUAUUUCCCUUGAUUUUACUGGUCUGAAUUAAUUUUAGUUACUUUAACAUUUUAAUUUCCCUUAACUGUACAUGAGAGAAUAUAAUGACCUAAGAGAAUACUGAACCAGAGUCAACCAAAUAUAUUACUGACCCCAAAGUUAGGUUUUAAUUGGUCCUAAAGGAAUGUACCACCCCAAUAGUUUGAGUUAGGCAAACAGAAUUUCCUUGGGGAGGGAAGAAAAAAGCUGUAGAACAGCCAAAUGUACUCAACAUUGUUAAAACGGCUCUUUGUUUUCACCCCUGAAUGAUACUUCUUUACUACACUAUAUGCACAGAAAUCCUAACAGAAUCUUGGUUGCCAGUAUUAUUUAGGCUGGCCCAAUCCAGGACAGAACCCCACCCCACCCCCCAAAUUCCCCUUCUCUCAGGCUCUGAAAAGCACAAUAUUUAACUAUUUCUUAAUAGAACUACCAAAACACUUCAGAAACAAGUGGCUCACAAAUCAUUUUAAAUUCGUGUAUUGCCUGUGCAUGAGAAAACUGAUAAACCCCGAAGAUAGUUCUAUUUUUAUAUGGCGAUUAAAAAUAACUGAAACAUCAAGACACUUUCAGUGAAAGCAACAUUUCAAUUACAAAUUGUAAUGCCUGUUAAAACUACCUAUGGGAGAAGCUGAAAGUCCUAGGCAAAUGCACUUUGGGGUUAUACUACAGUGCUCCUUCAGUCUGCACAAAGAUUAAGGUAAUUUACAGUC
ensembl:lncRNA